GCGGCAGCAGAGGGAGAAUCUGCGGAAGCAGGAGAUGGGCGAUCUGAAAGAGAAGGCGGCGGUGAGGGAGAACACCACGCUGAAAACCAGGCAGACGCUGGAGAGGAUGGAAAGCCAGCUGAUCCUGGAUCAGCAGAGUCUGGACACUGCCAUGCUCCUGCCGUUGUGUUGCAUGGGUAACAAAGCGGCAGCAGCAGCCGACCCCCCCAGUGAUCCAGUGACCCCCG